ACAAAAACAAUAAUAAGCAUCAGCAGAACUAUCGUUUCGACUCAAGGCACAACAAAAACAAGAGUACCCACGAGUCGCAAACAGAUUUUUUUGGAAAGGGUAUGUGAUUCGGGUUUUCCCGCAACCAGGCCGAAAAGAAUAAAACUACCUUGAGGUAGCUCGGUGUGCCGGUUGGAUCAUUGCAGGGGUUUUGGCAAUGGCGAUUGCUGUAUCAGUAACCAAAAAAAUACGUUUGCCCUUGGUUCCACUUGGAAUCACUGAAAGCGAUGACGCAACAGACAGCGAUAAAACAACAAUAACAGUCGCCAAAUAAUAAGAAUAAAGCACACACCCAAUUAGAGGGGAGCCUAGGCUCCCCUUUGUGCUUUCUGCGGUUUCGUUUUCCUUCCCCU
rfam:Pseudomonadales bacterium RIFCSPHIGHO2_02_FTLL_60_43 rifcsphigho2_02_scaffold_45908, whole genome shotgun sequence.